rnacentral:misc_RNA from 1 species
AACCGCUCCAUGACCGAUGAGGCGACUGAAAAACCAUCUACACCUUACGAUUUUGGUGCUGGGAAUCUUAAUCUUGAUCGUGCAAUGGAUCCUGGACUUGUGUAUGACAUUACUAACAAUGAUUACGUGAACUUCCUGUGUGGAAUUGGAUACAGCCCUAAAGCCAUUCAGGUGAUCACGCGAUCACCAGUAACUUGUCCGGCGAAGAGGCCUUUACCUGAAAACCUCAACUAUCCGUCAAUUACAGCAUUGUUUCCAAGCUUAUCAGUUGGAGCAACAAGCAUGGCGUUUAUCAGAACUGUGACCAAUGUGGGUCAGCCAAACGCGGUUUAUCAGCCAACAAUUGAAGCUCCAAAAGGGACAGCAGUGGCCGUGAAACCAGCGAGAUUGGUGUUCAAUCA